GAUGAAGAACGUAGCAAAAUGCGAUACUUGGUGUGAAUUGCAGAAUCCCGUGAACCAUCGAGUUUUUGAACGCAAGUUGCGCCCGAAGCCUUUUGGCCGAGGGCACGUCUGCCUGGGCGUCACGCAUCGCGUCGCCCCCCACAAAUUCUCCCGUCAGGGGAGCUUGUGUUUCGGGGGCGGAUACUGGUCUCCCGUGCUCAUGGCGCGGUUGGCCGAAAUAGGAGUCCCUUCGAUGGACGCACGAACUAGUGGUGGUCGUAAAAACCCUCGUCUUUUGUUUCGUGCCGUUAGUCGCGAGGGAAGCUCUUCAAAAACCCCAACGCGUCGUCUCUUGACGGCGCUUCGACCGCGACCCCAGGUCAGGCGGGACUACCCGCUGAGUUUAAGCAUAUCAAUAAGCGGAGGA
rnacentral:misc_RNA from 1 species